AUCCUUUAUAAAAUUUGUUUGAUGCCAAACAUCAGAAUGAAUUUAUAUAGAUAUGAAAUUGAGCUUCAUGACAUUGAUACUCAAAAGGCAUAAUCCUUUAUAAAAUUUGUUUGAUGCCAAACAUCAGAAUGAAUUUAUAUAGAUAUGAAAUUGAGCUACAUGACAUUGAUACUCAAAAGGCAUAGUUCUUUAUAAAAUUUGUUUGAUGCCAAACAUCAGAAUGAAUUUAUAUAGAUAUGAAAUUGAGCU